AGAGUUUGAUCAUGGCUCAGAACGAACGCUGGCGGCGUGUCUUAAGCAUGCAAGUUGAGCGGCAAGGGGUAGCAAUACCCCCUAGAGCGGCGGACUGGUGAGUAACGCGUGGGUGAUCUGCCCUUGGGAUGGGGAUAGCCACUAGAAAUAGUGGGUAAUACCGAAUACAUUCGGCACUUCGGUGUGCCGAGGAAAAGCGCUUCGGCGCUGCCCGAGGAUGAGCCCGCGUCCCAUUAGCUAGUUGGUGAGGUAAGAGCCCACCAAGGCGAUGAUGGGUAGGCGGCCUGAGAGGGUGUACGCCCACACUGGGACUGAGAUACGGCCCAGACUCCUACGGGAGGCAGCAGCUAAGAAUAUUCCGCAAUGGACGAAAGUCUGACGGAGCGACGCCGCGUGGAUGAUGAAGGCCGAAAGGUUGUAAAGUCCUUUUGCUGGGGAAGAAUAAGCAUGGGAGGGAAUGCCCGUGUGAUGACAUGAACCGGCGAAUAAGCCCCGGCUAACUACGUGCCAGCAGCCGCGGUAACACGUAGGGGGCGAGCGUUGUUCGGAAUUACUGGGCGUAAAGGGCAUGUAGGCGGCUCUGUAAGCCCGGCGUGAAAGUCACCGGCUCAACCGGUGGAUUGCGUCGGGAACUGCGGGGCUUGAAUCAUGGAGAGGGAGCUAGAAUUCCAGGUGUAGGGGUGAAAUCUGUAGAGAUCUGGAAGAAUACCAGUGGCGAAGGCGAGCUCCUGGCCAAUGAUUGACGCUGAGGUGCGAAAGUGUGGGGAUCAAACAGGAUUAGAUACCCUGGUAGUCCACACUGUAAACGAUGUGCACUAGGUGCUGGGGCGGAUGCUUCAGUGCCGGAGCUAACGCGGUAAGUGCACCGCCUGGGGAGUAUGCUCGCAAGGGUGAAACUCAAAGGAAUUG
rnacentral:rRNA from 1 species